rnacentral:lncRNA from 1 species
GACCGCCACGGUGUCUUGUAAGUAACUCACUGCACUUAGGUACUGGACUACCUGAAUUUCUAAUUCAGUGACGGAAGGCUGCUGGGUGUAGUCAAGUACUUGACUUGUCGGUGCGUGUGUCAAGAUGGGAUUGACUACUCCAGUUUAGGAGCUGUGUACAGUCAUGUUUCAAUUUAGCAAAAUCUUGGCCAGGGUAGUCCU